rnacentral:rRNA from 1 species
UACGAAGGGGGCUAGCGUUGCUCGGAAUCACUGGGCGUAAAGGGCUCGUAGGCGGCCAACUAAGUCGGAUGUGAAAUCCCCAGGCUUAACCUGGGAACUGCAUCCGAUACUGGAUGGCUUGAAUCCGGGAGAGGGAUGCGGAAUUCCAGGUGGAGCGGUGAAAUGCGUAGAGAUCUGGAAGAACACCAAAGGCGAAGGCAGCAUCCUGGAUCACUCCUGACGCUCAGGUGCGAAAGCUAGGGGAGCGAACGGG